GGGGAUGAUCGGUUUCGACGGUUUUUGCAGAAACUGAAUGAAGCGGGUCGAGAAUGCAGAGUUAUCUCGUUAACGUCCUCUGCAAACUAUAGGUGCCAAAUCUAAGAGC
rnacentral:tmRNA from 1 species